rnacentral:rRNA from 1 species
GACGAACGCUGGCGGCGUGCUUAACACAUGCAAGUCGAACGGAAAGGCCCUGCUUUUGUGGGGUGCUCGAGUGGCGAACGGGUGAGUAACACGUGAGUAACCUGCCCUUGACUUUGGGAUAACUUCAGGAAACUGGGGCUAAUACCGGAUAGGAGCUCCUGCUGCAUGGUGGGGGUUGGAAAGUUUCGGCGGUUGGGAAUGGACUCGCGGCUUAUCAGCUUGUUGGUGGGGUAGUGGCUUACCAAGGCUUUGACGGGUAGCCGGCCUGAGAGGGUGACCGGCCACAUUGGGACUGCGGUACGGCCCAGACUCCUACGGGAGGCAGCAGUGGGGAAUAUUGCACAAUGGGCGGAAGCCUGAUGCAGCAACGCCGCGUGCGGGAUGACGGCCUUCGGGUUGUAAACCGCUUUCGCCUGUGACGAAGCGUGAGUGACGGUAAUGGGUAAAGAAGCACCGGCUAACUACGUG